AAAACAUUCUUGCAAAGAGAAUCAUACAGCUUUAGAAAUUUGCUAUUUAAGAGAAAAUUAUUGCUAAUUCUGGAAUUAGUCAACCCUUUAUUCAUGCUUGCAUAUAUUUUCACAUAUUGGGUUAGUUAUCAGUUUAAAACAGUUACGUACUUUGAUGUGGAAUUCCAACAUUUCCAGAGCAUUCAAAAAAGUCAGCUUGGACACAAUUAAAAUUGUCUUUCUUUGGUCUCACUAAAAUAGGAGAAACUCAUCUGACUGAGAACAAAUAUUUCCAUCCAAUACCCAUUUGCAGAAAAGUCCUGGGAAAAUUAACGUUAAUGCCCCCUGAUCCUGGCUGCUCUUCUCUCAUGGAGGUUGAGCCCAUCCUCCACCAGCUUAGUCUGGAGGUCUCCGGUCCCCUAGAGAGGGCCCUGGGGACUUUCACCUGACUCUCCCUUGGGUGGAAAUGACUUUGGUUCAAGACCAUGAAGACAUUCAAGAAAUUCAACUCACCAGGGUGGCUCUGAAUUAAUAGUUUCUUGGGGACUUUUCAAUGAUAAUAUUCUAAAUUGAGCCCAGAAGCCACCCAUAGUUAUCAUUUUACUUUGGAGAUAAAACACGAUUUUCCUGAUCCAUUUAACUCCCUCUUAGGUUGUACUAACUAACCUAACUCUCUCCUCCUGACUCCCUCCUAGGUUGUACCUAACUCCCUCUUAGGUUGUACUUCUCCACUGAGGCUCUUUUAAGCCCAGAGGAAAUACUCAGAUUAGAAGAGGUAUGAUGAAAAGAUAGCAUGAAAAGGAAAAGGAAUCCAGAUACCAGGUAGGGAAUUAAAGUUGCCUGCUUUGAAAAAAAGUCAGUCUUGGAGAUUUUAAAAAGUUCUGAGGGUGGAUGGUGGUGAGGGUUGCACAACAAUGUGAAUAUGCUUAAUGUCACUGUCACUUAAAAAUUGUUAGGGCCGGGCGCAGUGGCUCACACCCGUAAUCCCAGCACUUUGGGAUGCCGAGGUAGGCGGAUCGCCCAAGGUCAGGAGUUCAGAUCAGCCUGGCUAAAUGGUGAAACCCCGUUUCUACUAAAAACACAAAAAAUUAGUCGAGCGUAGUGGUGGGCACCUG
rnacentral:lncRNA from 10 species